rnacentral:rRNA from 1 species
GACGAACGCUGGCGGCGUGCUUAACACAUGCAAGUCGAACGGAAAGGCCCUGCUUUUGUGGGGUGCUCGAGUGGCGAACGGGUGAGUAACACGUGAGUAACCUGCCCUUGACUUUGGGAUAACUUCAGGAAACUGGGGCUAAUACCGGAUAGGAGCUCCUGCUGCAUGGUGGGGGUUGGAAAGUUUCGGCGGUUGGGGAUGGACUCGCGGCUUAUCAGCUUGUUGGUGGGGUAGUGGCUUACAAAGGCUUUGACGGGUAGCCGGCCUGGGAGGUUGGCCGGCCACCUUGGUACUGCGAUACGGCCCAGUAUCCUACGGGAGGCAGCAGGCGAGAGUAUUGCACAAUGGGCGGAAGCCUGAUGCGGCAGCGCCGCGUGCGGGAUGACGGCCUUCGGGUGGUAAACCGCUUUCGCCUGUGACGAAGCGUGAGUGACGGUAAUGGGUAAAGAAGCACCGGCUAACUACGUG